rnacentral:rRNA from 1 species
CCGCCGCGGUAAUACGGAGGGUGCAAGCGUUAUCCGGAUUUAUUGGGUUUAAAGGGUCCGUAGGCGGAUGCGUAAGUCAGUGGUGAAAUCUCACAGCUCAACCGUGAGACUGCCAUUGAUACUGCGUGUCUUGAGUGAGGUUGAAGUAGCAGGAAUAAGUAGUGUAGCGGUGAAAUGCAUAGAUAUUACUUAGAACACCAAUUGCGAAGGCAGGUUACUAAGUCUCAACUGACGCUGAUGGACGAAAGCGUGGGGAGCGAACAGGAUUAGAUACCCUGGUAGUCCACGCUGUAGACGAUGCUAACUCGUUUUUGGGGAUUUAUCUUCAGAGACUAAGCGAAAGUGAUAAGUUAGCCACCUGGGGAGUACGAACGCAAGUUUGAAACUCAAAGGAAUUGACGGGGGCCCGCACAAGCGGUGGAUUAUGUGGUUUAAUUCGAUGAUACGCGAGGAACCUUACCAAGGCUUAAAUGGGAAUUGAUCGGUUUAGAAAUAGACCUUCCUUCGGGCAAUUUUCAAGGUGCUGCAUGGUUGUCGCCAGCUCGUGCCGUGAGGUGUUAGGUUACGUCCUGCAACGAACGCAACC